UUUUUUUUUUUUUUUUAAGAUUUAUUUUAAGGAAAGAGAGAAAAAACAUGAUCAUGAGUUGGGGGCAGAGGCAGAGGGAGAAGCAGACUCCUUGCUGAGCACAGAGCCCAACAUAGGGCUCAAUCCCAGGACCCUGAGAUCAUGACCUGAGCUGAAACCAAGAGUCCGAUGCUUAACUGACUGAGCUUCCCAAGAGCCCCUAAUUUCUAAUUUUCUUAAUAUUUUCCCUAGACUUUCCGUUAGUUGGUCUUUCUCAGUAGAUGAUCGAGGUGAGAUCUUUUUUUUUUUUUUUUUGAGGUGAGAUCUUAACUAGUUUAUUUCCUUACUUCAUAAAUUUAUAUAAAGGCUACGUGUUUGCCUCUGAGUCCCUCUUUGGCCGCUUAUUUCGUUUACAUUCGGUGAUCUCCCUCCUCCAUAAAUGCAUUUAAAAUUUGAAAUUGACCUCUGAGCACAUUUCUGGUUUUCAUUUGCAAUGGUUUCGUCCUCCAGCCCUAAAUAUCUUGGACUUUACUUGGUAAAUAUGAUUUACCUUUCACUCCUAUUUAAACCCUUUCGACUCCGUGGACUCGAGGAACAUGGGCAACACUGAUGUAGAAUAUUAUUGCAUUGGGGCUGGUGAGUGGAGUCUGAAUGUUGGGCUCAGCUUUAUGGCCUAACACAUGGUCUGGUCUUGUGAUGGUUCCAAGCGUUUGGACAGAAUGUACCUUGUUUGUUGGCUACAAAGUCCCAUACAUGUUGACUUGAUGCCUUUGCAACGGCAUUAAUCAUCUCAAGAUCCCGAUUGUUUGGUCAGCUUGGUCUUUGCAUCCCGAGUUAGAUGCAGUCUCCUGCUCUGCUGUGGUUUGAUCCAUUUCUUCUCAGGGGCGUUUUUCCCUUAGACAUUUUAAUAUGAUGUUGUUGAGGACAGUGUGUGUAUGGCACCCCCCAGAGCAUCGGGGUGCUCUGGUCCCCUGACAAGUCCUUGGUGAUGGGCUGUGCUCCAGGCUUUGUCCCUUCCAGCUUGGCGCUGCCACACGUGGGUGAGGCUGGCCUCAGGCAGGUGGGACGCAGGUGUCUGGAACAUCUGCACGGUGGCUGUGGGAAGUGGGCAGACUCGGCUCCCUGUCCAGGCUCCACCGCGUACUGUGAUCCUGGGUGAGGCACUGGACUUGUCUGGGCCUCCGUCUCCUUAUCUGCCCACCGAUGCAUUGCUGUAAGGAUUACAUGAGACCGCAGGCGCCUAUCAUACAGCAACUACUCCAUGAAUGGGGAUGGAUGUGACGGUAUGUCCUGUGGCAGGGUUGAGGCCACUGGAGAUGCUGUCUCACUGGUCAUAUCCGUGGGUUGAGGCAAUUCCUUGGGAUCCUCAGUUUCCAAGAGGUCUUCACAUCCAUCCCUACCUGCCAUCGCCCACCACCAGCCAUCGGCAUGAGCAUCUCAAGGGCUGAACCCCAGAGCAGAGGGCCACACACGUUCACUUUUCCUGAAGAUCUCCACCCCCUUGUCUGGUUUCCAGUAGGGAGUGGAAGGUAGACCCUAUUUAGAUACUUCGGUCUCAGUGGCUCAGGAGACCGAAGAAGGGAAAGAGGAGAUGCUCCCUUAGAGGGGCUUUGAGGGCUGGGUUCUCGGGGCAGAGAGGUUCUCUGGGUUCUCUCUUGGUCAAGUCCUGGACGACUCAGGGAAGACCAGGCUUGGGGUAGAAUCUAUUUUGUCCCUUUUGUCCCAUAAUCUAAGAGGAUCCCAACCCCCCUACUUGUCAUCAGAACUCAGGAGCUGCUCACUGUGGUCCCACAUGCUUCUUUUUAAGUUUUUUUAAAAAGAUAUUAUUUGUUCAUGAGACACACACACAGAGAGAGAGAGAGAGAGAGGCAGAGACACAGGCAGAGGGAGAAGCAGGCUCCAUGCAGGGAGCCUGAUGUGGGACUCACUCGAUCCCAGGACCCUGGGGUCAUGCCCUGAGCCAAAGGCAGACGCUUAACCACUGAGCCACCCAGGUGCCCUUAAAGAUUUUACUUAUUUAUUUGAGAGAAAGACAGCGAGAGAGCAUGGGCCUGGAGGAGAGGGGGUUAGCAGACUCUUUGAUGUGGGACUCGAUCCCAGGCCCCAGGAUGAUGAACUGAGCAGAAGGCAGAGGCUUCACCAACCGAGCCCUCCCCACCCCACAGGCACCCCUUUUCUUGAUUGCACUUAACCUAUGGCUUAUCUACUUCCGGUGUUUUCAAAAAGUUUUUCAUUUCGUUAACACAAAAUAAUAACCUCAAAACCAUCCCCAGUUAAAUCCAAUCCAACUUUUAUCUUAUUUCGACUUAUUCUGGUCUGUUCUCAUUAUCUGAAUGCAAAGCUUGGUCCGUUUCUUCCUGGAGCUCACUCGGUUCCAGUGCGUCCGAGGCUGCGCACGUUCCGCUGGGUACCCCCUUUUCACCGUGCGACGUGCUCACUGAUGGGCUCCAUUUCAAUGGCUCCGUGAUUUGU
rnacentral:lncRNA from 1 species